rnacentral:rRNA from 1 species
UCCUACGGGAGGCAGCAGUGGGGAAUUUUGGACAAUGGGUGAGAGCCUGAUCCAGCCAUGCCGCGUGAGUGAUGAAGGCCCUAGGGUUGUAAAGCUCUUUUACCCGGGAUGAUAAUGACAGUACCGGGAGAAUAAGCUCCGGCUAACUCCGUGCCAGCAGCCGCGGUA